rnacentral:rRNA from 1 species
AACGAACGCUGGCGGCAGGCCUAACACAUGCAAGUCGAACGCUCCGCAAGGGGAGUGGCGCACGGGUGAGUAACACGUGGGAACCUACCUUCUGGUACGGAACAACCAAGGGAAACUUUGGCUAAAACCGUAUACGACCUCCGGGUGAAAGAUUGAUCGCCGGAAGAGGGGCCCGCGUCCGAUUAGGUAGUUGGUGAGGUAACGGCUCACCAAGCCUACGAUCGGUAGCUGGUCUGAGAGGAUGGCCAGCCACACUGGGACUGAGACACGGCCCAGACUCCUACGGGAGGCAGCAGUGGGGAAUAUUGGACAAUGGGCGCAAGCCUGAUCCAGCCAUGCCGCGUGAGUGAUGAAGGCCU